rnacentral:rRNA from 1 species
UGAGGAAUAUUGCGCAAUGGGCGAAAGCCUGACGCAGCAACGCCGCGUGAAGGAUGACGGUCUUCGGAUUGUAAACUUCUGUUAAGUGGGAAGAAAGGCUCGCCUAUAAUACAGGUGAGAGAUGACGGUACCAUUAGAGAAAGCACCGGCUAACUUCGUGCCAGCAGCCGCGGUAAUACGAGGGGUGCAAGCGUUAUUCGGAAUAAUUGGGCGUAAAGGGUGCGUAGACGGCAUAUUAAGUCAACUGUUAAAUACCUCGGCCUAACUGGGGACCGGCAGUAGAUACUGAUGUGCUAGAGGAUGGAAGAGAGGAGUGGAAUUCUCGGAGUAGCGGUAAAAUGCGUAGAUCUCGAGAGGAACACCAAUGGCGAAGGCAGCUCCUUGGUCCAUAUCUGACGUU